rnacentral:tRNA from 1 species
GCAGGGGUGCCGGAGCCUGGUCAAACGGGGUGGACUCAAGAUCCACUGGCGUAGGCCUGCGAGGGUUCGAAUCCCUCCCCCUGCACUU